rnacentral:rRNA from 1 species
UAAAAGGUUAGUUUAUUUUGAUUAAGGAAUUAAUUGUUCUAUAUAAAGGCAUUUGAAGUAAAAAUUGGUAAAUUGUAUAAAUUAAGGACGAGACGUUUCGAAAAUUAUAAUGAGGUUUAGACUUGUGACUUAUAAGUUUCCUAAUUAAAAAAUAAAAUUUUUUAAUUAUUGUGAAAUGAAACAUCUUAGUAACAGUUAAAAAAAUCAACCGAAAGAAUAUAAGUAACGGUGAGUGAACAUAAAAAGAAGUACAAAGUAUUAAAAUUUUUUUAAGAUUUAUUUACAAUAAAAGGUUUUAGUCCUGUAAAAAAAUUUAUUAAUGCUAAAUAAAGUAAAGUGAGUUAUUCACAAGAACAAAGGAGGACCACCUUCUAAACUUAAAAAUACAAUUUAAUCGAUAGUAAAAGAGUACUGUGAAGAAAAAUUUGAAAAAAUUUGAAAAAAUUUGAAAAAAUUUGAAUGUCUGACUAAUUACUUGAAGUAAAAAUAUACAACAAGAUGCUUUUUGCAGAACGAAUCAGUAAGUUAAAAGUUAUAGCAAAAAUAAUUAUUAUUAAAAAAAUUUAACAGUUAUAAUUAUUAGACCUGAAACCAAGUGAUCUAAUUAUGAAUAAGUUGCUUUUAAUGUAAUAAUUAAUUAAGGACUGAACUUUUACAUGUAGCAAAAUGUAAAGAAAAUUUGUAAUUAGGAGUGAAAGGCUAAUCAAACUUGGUUAUAGCCGGUUUUUCACGAAAUGUAUUUUAGUACAGCAUUAAUAUAUAAACAAUUUAUUAGUGUAAAGUAAAAAAUUUGAAAAAAUUUUUAACUUUAAAAUUAAUAAUUCUAAUAUAAUGUUAAUAGUCAGUCAUAAAGCGAGAAGGUUUUAUGACAAAAGGAAAACAAUCCAGAUCGUUUGAUAAGGUAUUAAAUUAUACAAAAUAAAAAGGUUUUAAAAAAUUUAAAUAUUUAAAAUAGACUUAGAAGCAGUCUUUUAUUUGAGAAAGCGUUUUAGCUCAUUAUUUUUUUUUAUAAAACUAAAAAUUUUAGAUAAAAAAGUAUAAACCGAAACAGCGAAUAUGUUUUUAAUAAUAUAUGGUAGUGAAACGUUUUGUUAUUAGUAUAGUAAAAGAGUAAUCAAAUUUAAUGAAUACAAAAACGCUAAUGCUGAUAUGAGUAACGAAAAUUAUGUAAAAAUCAUAAUCAUAAAAAAAUAGGUUUUCAAUGUACUUUAAAAUUCAUUGAGUGAGUCGGUUCUUAAAAAUUUACUAAAUAGUUACUUUGAUAGAAAAAAAUUAUUAAUAAUUUUACUAAUUGUAGUAGUUAUUAAGUUAACAAACAGAAAUUAAUUAUCUGCUUAAAAAAACUAUUAAAAAUAAAUUAAGAAUUAAUGAUAUUUCUCGAGAAAAAACCAAUUAAAAUAAACCGUACUAAAUCCGACACAGGUUUUUAUUAUAUGAGUGAAAGAAUUAUAUUAAAGGAACUUGGCAAAUUAAUUCCGUAUGUUAGCUAAAAGGGAUGUCUGCUAAAUUUUAAUGAUUGUUGCAGAUAACAUAAACAAAAAAGCAACGACUGGUUAUCAAAACCACAGAACUCUGCUAAUUUCAAAAAGAUGUAUAGAGUUUGAGGCCUGCCCAGUGCUUAAAAAUGAAAUAUAAAGAGUUAAUGUGUACUUAAUAAUAAGUUUAAGUAAACGGCGGUUCUAACUAUAAGAAUCCUCAGGUAGCGAAAUUCCUUGGCGGGUAAAUUCCGUCCUGCAUGAAUGGCUUAACGAUUGCUUUACUGUCUCUAAUAUAAAUUCAGUGAAAUUACAAUAUUCAUGAAAAUGUGAAUUUUUUACAAUAAGACGGAAAGACCCUAGAUCCUUUACUUUUAUUUUACAUUGUGAAUAAAAAUUGCUUAAAUAGUAUAAAUGGGAGUAAAUAACAUUUUGAAAUACCAUUUUUGCAAUAUUUUUAACUAAUUUAAUUCUUUUAAAGAAAGUGUAAAAAAGAAAGUUUACUUGGGAAGAGUACCUCCUAAAAAGUAACGGAGGUGUGCAAAGGUGAAAUAUAUAUAUAAUAGUUUUAUUUUGCUUGAUAAUAAAAUUAAUAAAUUGAAUUAGGACGAAAGUCAGUUAUAGUGACCCGUAUUUAAGUGUGGAAUUAAAUUCGUUCAACAGCUAAAAGGAACUCUAGGGAUAACAGAUUCAUCAUGAUUUAAAGUCCAUAUUGAAAUCAUGGUUUGAUACCUCGAUGUCGACUCAUCUUAUCCUGAAGUUGCAAUUAAUUUCAAGGGUCUAGUUGUUCGCUAGUUAAAAAGGUACGUGAGUUGGGUUCAGAACGUCGUGAGACAGUUCGGUCCCUAUCUAUUGUAAAUUAAAAAAAUAAAAAGAGUAUUUUUAGUACGAGAGGACCAAAAUAUAUUAACCACUGGUGGAUUGAUUAAAAUAUAUUAUUUUAUUGUCAGAUAGCUACGUUAGUUUAAUUUAAAUACUGAAAGAAUCAAUAGUAUAAAAAUAGCUUUUCAAUUUUUUUGAACAAUCUUUUCGAAAAAAAGAUAGAUCGAUCUAAUUUUUAGCUUUAGUAAUAAAAUGAUUAUAGAUACGAAUUAGUCAAAAGAUUUUUAAUUAACUUAAUC